AUACGGAGGCUGCAAGCGUUAUUCGGAAUCACUGGGCGUAAAGGACGCGUAGGCGGGUUGGCAAGUCAGAUGUGAAAUCCUACAGCUUAACUGUAGAACUGCAUUUGAAACUGCUAACCUAGAGUAUGGGAGGGGGAGAUGGAAUUAGUGGUGUAGGGGUAAAAUCCGUAGAUAUCACUAGGAAUACCGAAAGCGAAGGCGAUCUCCUGGAACAUAACUGACGCUAAGGCGUGAAAGCGUGGGGAGCAAACAGGAUUAGAAACCCUAGUAGUCC
rnacentral:rRNA from 1 species